GAAAUAUAAUAUAAAAGCUUCUAACUUUUUAAAUAGUGAAAUUAAUCAUUAAUAUUUCU
rnacentral:tRNA from 1 species